GACGGAGGGUGCAAGCGUUAUCCGGAAUUAUUGGGCGUAAAGAGCUCGUAGGCGGUUUGUCGCGUCUGCUGUGAAAACUGGAGGCUCAACCUCCAGCCUGCAGUGGGUACGGGCAGACUAGAGUGCGGUAGGGGAGAUUGGAAUUCCUGGUGUAGCGGUGGAAUGCGCAGAUAUCAGGAGGAACACCGAUGGCGAAGGCAGAUCUCUGGGCCGUAACUGACGCUGAGGAGCGAAAGCGUGGGGAGCGAACAGG
rnacentral:rRNA from 1 species